rnacentral:rRNA from 1 species
UACGUAGGGAGCAAGCGUUGUCCGGAAUCAUUGGGCGUAAAGAGCGCGUAGGUGGCCCUGUAAGUCCGUUGUGAAAGUCAAAGGCUCAACCUUUGAAAGCCGAUGGAUACUGCAGGGCUAGAGUCCGGAAGAGGCGAGUGGAAUUCCUGGUGUAGCGGUGGAAUGCGCAGAUAUCAGGAGGAACACCAAUAGCGAAGGCAGCUCGCUGGGACGGUACUGACACUGAGGCGCGAGAGCAAGGGGAGCAAACAGG